rnacentral:rRNA from 1 species
UACAGAGGUGGCAAGCGUUGUUCGGAAUUACUGGGCGUAAAGGGCGCGUAGGCGGCCCUCCUAGUCGCGUGUGAAAGCCCCGGGCUCAACCUGGGAAUUGCGCGCGAAACGGGGGGGCUUGAGUUCGGGAGAGGAGCGUGGAAUUCCCAGUGUAGAGGUGAAAUUCGUAGAUAUUGGGAAGAACACCGGUGGCGAAGGCGGCGCUCUGGACCGAGACUGACGCUGAGGUGCGAAAGCGUGGGGAGCAAACAGG